rnacentral:rRNA from 1 species
UACGUAUGGUGCAAGCGUUAUCCGGAUUUACUGGGUGUAAAGGGAGCGCAGGCGGCACGGCAAGCCUGAUGUGAAAGCCCGCGGCCCAACCGCGGGACUGCAUUGGGAACUACCGGGCUGGAGUGCCGGAGAGGUAGGUGGAAUUCCUAGUGUAGCGGUGAAAUGCGUAGAUAUUAGGAGGAACACCAGUGGCGAAGGCGGCCUACUGGACGGUGACUGACGCUGAGGCUCGAAAGCGUGGGGAGCAAACAGG